ensembl:snRNA U2 U2 spliceosomal RNA
AUCGCUUCUUGGCCUUUUGGCUAAGAUCAAGUGUAGUAUCACUCUGAAGAAACCAAAGGUCCUCUUUUGUGCCCCUCCCCUGCAUCCUCCCUCUUCUACCAGCCACGGGCUCUUCUAUCUGUGAGCUUCACUUCGUGGAGUCAGAAGACUCCUC